rnacentral:rRNA from 1 species
GACGAACGCUGGCGGCGUGCUUAACACAUGCAAGUCGAACGGAAAGGCCCUGCUUUUGUGGGGUGCUCGAGUGGCGAACGGGUGAGUAACACGUGAGUAACCUGCCCUUGACUUUGGGAUAACUUCAGGAAACUGGGGCUAAUACCGGAUAGGAGCUCUUGCUGCAUGGUGGGGGUCGGAAAGUUUCGGGGGUUGGGGAUGGACUCUCGGCUUAUUAGCUUGUUGGUGGGGUAGUGGCUUACCAAGGCUCUGACGGGUAGCCGGCCUGAGAGGGUGACCGGCCACGUUGGGACUAGGAUAGGGCCCAGACUCCUACGGAAGGCAGCAGUGGGGAAUGUUGCACAAUGGACGGAAGCCUGUGGCGGCAACGCCGCGGGCGGGAUAACGGCCUUCGGGUUGAAAACCGCUUUCGCCUGUGACGAAGCGUGUGUGACGGUAAUGGGUAAAGAAGCACCGGCUAACUACGUG